UUCGGUACCCGAAAGUCAUCCGUCCUUACAGACGCCACAAAGCACGCUGCGUUGCCAGAUCUCGAGCCCUCAUUCCGCGAUCCAGGAGCACGUGCACGGAGCCACGACGGAGGGCGGGCUGGCAACGUCGGGCGCGGGGUGGCGGGAAGGUGGGCUCCGUGGAUCUCAUGAAUGGGAUUGGAAUUGCGGUCAACUUUUUACCUAUUUCCAGCGAGCAGUCAGUGUUGCGCCGCGCUGCCGUCCACGUCGCGUUCCCGGUGUCGGUUCGUCCGAGUUGCAUGCGUUCGGCUUUCUCCGCUCGCUCGGGUGUGUUCGUGUGUUGUCUGUGACUUGCGCCCCUUUCGUACCUUUCGUCAGGUGUUUACGGCCCGCUCGGAUAUAUUCGCCGUGUGCCGAAAUGUGAUGCCCAUGUGGAUUAAUUAUGUGUUCGUAAGAUGAUCAGGAAAAGCGAUGCGGGCUGACACGGCCUCGUGGCUGGCGGCCGGCGUGGCAGGGCCGCUGGUCGGCGUCUGGCUCGGCUGGGCCGCGCUGAUCGUCUACUCGCACCGCGCGCAAUGGCGGCUCCUGGACCCGCUCCUGCUGGCCCUCCUCCUCCUGGCGCUCGCCCGGCAACUCGCCGCUGCCGCCCUCACGGCCGUCCACCUCCUCCGGCCCUCCGACGACUGGUGCUCCGCGCUCGCCUUCCUCCUCGCCGCCGCCGACGCCAUGCAGGCUGCCACCCUCGCCACCCUCGUCUUCUCCAAGUUCCUCCACCUCCGUCUCCCUCGCGACAAGUUCCGCAAGACCCUCUCCAAGUCCCACCUCAUCUACCACCUCGCCUGCCUCGUCCUCAUCAGCUCCUGCAUUGGUGUCGCUGCCGUCAUCGGCAAGACUGACCAUUGUGUCUACUAUUCUGACAAGAGGUACAUCUCCUUCUGGCUGACGCUCCACAGUACCCUGAUCGUGCUUUCCUUCUGCGUGCUGAUCUACAGCAGCUGCCUCCGCGGGAGCGUGGGUACCUCCGUCUCCAACACAUACUACCAAAACCAACGGCGCCUCCUGCUCAACUCAUCCUCCGACCUGUCAUGCGCCUUGUCGGACAUCUCGAUGCUCUCGUCCAAGUCGCGGAACCGCGGCGUCAACUACUCGGUGAGCAACUGCUCCUCCAACUUGAACCGACGGCACUGCCUGGUGGAGGAGCUCCUGCGGAAUCAGGUCUACGUGAACGGGGACUGCAAGUUCGUCUACAACACCCAGCUGAGCUGCGGCUCGGGGUCCGUGCUGAACGACAAGUUGAGCGCGUCCCAGCAGAUGCUCACCGAGGAGUUGAGGGUCCCGGAGGAAGCGAGGUUGAUGGAGGACUCGGCGAGUUGUGCUGCGCUUCAUGACUGCCAUCUCUCGACGACGACCACUUCGCCCUCGUCGACCAACAGUCGGGCGCCUGUCCUAGCGGCCAAGCAUCGACGUCCCGACCUGGAGGUCCCGCUCAUGACCGUCGCGGCUGUCUCAGUUCUCUGCUUCUUCACCAGUCAUCUUCCUGUCAUGGUGGUGGCGUUUAUGGAGGUGAUCUUGCAGCAGUCGUUGGGACUACCUUGGUCAUCGGAGAACUUCCCGAUCUGGGCGUCCCUCGUCGAGGGCUGUCUUCUCCCGGUCGUUCUCCUCAUAUUCGACGACCAAUUCCCGGCCCGCAUCGCUCACAUCUACAAGCGACGCUCCCCAGCCGACGUCGCCGGAAAACCACCCCAAGGGCUGUACGGAAAGUUCAGGCCAUUCAAUAACAGUUCAAUGAUGGAGUCGAGGCGGACGACGAUGGAGCCAGUGAGAUUCCCAAUCACGAACGGGUCUUUGUUCACAAGUUUGGACGGCCGCAUACCUAUUGUCCACAACUACAGACGAGGAAAGUGUAUCACGAGAAGUACAAGCGGGAUGCUUACGAACAAAUUCUCCGGGAUCAGCGAACACGGUGGCUCGCUGCUCAUCUCGAACAUGGUGUCGGUGGGCAGCUCGAUGGAACGGAAGCCGCCACUCCCCGUCAACCCCAGCGAGAAGUCCGAGCAGGACGGGCACCCUCACUCGCACCAGCCCACGCCCGACCGAGGCGCCCACUCGCCCGAGGGCGCCUGCGGGGGCGCCGAUCGGGAUCGGGACAGGGACGCCCUCCCGCAAACAGUCAAACAGCUCCGCGAGAAGCUCUUCCUCAAGGACCACAAGGACUUCUACGACUCCUCCGACGAGGAGCCUGUAUACGCAACGCUCUCUUCGCAGAGCAUUUGCUCAGCAACGACAGCAGCAAACGACGACUUCGAGUUCUUCCAGCACGACUCGAAGGAGGUGGAGCGAGCCAGCGGCGCGAGCACAGCGUCGGAGCCGACGUUCAGCGCCCCGGAGCCACCGACCCCGUCGCCGAGGAAUCGAGGGAUGCGCGGAGUGUAAAUAGUGAUAGUCAUAGUCGUAGGAGUAAGGAGCGCGAGCGAGGGCGGGAGAGUCCCGCUGCGGGGCGACACCGCAAGGCGGCGGCCGCGCGGAAGACGGCCGAGCCGCGCUGGAGGGGCCACGCCCUGAGGGACUCGCAGCGGCACCGCCGGAGCAGGAGCCGGGAGGCCGCCCGCCGCCAGAAGAGCCGCCGCUCGCCCAUCGUCAAGCGGCGCCCCGUCACCGCCGCCCACUGGAGGCCGGCCAGCUCCAGGACCGAGCACCCCGGAUACAACCACCAGGUGAGCUAUUACUGCACACUCGGUUAGCAGGGUUUAGAAUAAGGCAAGCAAGUGACAUAGCCUUGGAAAGGAUAGAAAUAGGGUUCAUGUUCUCUUACUCCAUAAAAUUCUUCCUUUACACACAAACUGCAGGCUGAUUGUUGAAAUUGAUAGACAUAGCAUAGACAAAGGAGACAAAAGCGAUAUGGAAGGAUCCUAUUGGUAGAAGCGGUUGAUCGCAAUGGACAAAAGAGGUAUGCAAUAGAAUAACUAACGGCAACCCAUGAGAGAUCCUAUAGUUAGUCCAUUAUUUACCUUCUUAGUCUACAUAUAAGAACCACCAAUUUCAACCAAUAUUUAGGAUUGAUCAAUACUCCCUAUGUCUUCUUUGUCUAUGGCUUUGUCUAUCAAUUUCAAUAAUCAGCCUGCGGGAGGCUGAGAGAGAUUUGUGCUUUUAGCACUACUUUUUACAUAAAAUUUCACGAAAAACAUGAUAAGCUCUAAAAAGCUUUCGAAAGAGGACGUAAUGGAGGAAUCGCUUUCUUCACGGUAUGAGUCCCCAUUAUACCGAAUCAAAUCCUCAAUAUAGACAUCGAGCAAUUACAUUAGUAGAGUUGCCCUCUCUCACCAUAAUGUCGGCCAUCUUUUUCAAUACAGCCUGAACUUUGAGAGACUUUUUUGAGCUCGGGAGUACUUGGAUCGCAAAUACCUGCAGCAUGCAGCUUCAUUCGUCAUGUCCAGUUGUCUAUUCAACAAAUGAAACAGGAGGAAGUAAUGCAACGUGGAAUACAUUUGAGCUAUAAUUCUGGUUAAAUCCACGCUAAAACUACACACGAUGAAAAAGAAGUUCCCCCGUCCAACUUUUCUACUCCUGCGUCAAAGUCUCCGAGUCAGCGGAAGAGAGACGAUAUUCCUUCAUUUCGUAAAUAUGCAAUUUUACCUACACAGAAGUUGAACUAAAGAUAGCCUUUUCAUUGAGAGGGGGGGGGGGGGUCACAAAAUGCCGUUAGACACUUUUUCCGAUCCUUGAUUUCUUCCUCCUCGCGCAUCAAGUCCCGUUUCCCCUCCUACCAUUUUAAAAUGGCUCACCAGGGAAUCCUAGGCCAAUUCAUGAACUGUCCUAAGUUUGGUGCGCGGCGGACUGAUUAUUGAAAUCGGUAGACAAAGCUAUAGACAAAGAAGACAAAAAGGAUAUGGAGGGAUCCCAUUGGUGCAGGCGGGUGGUUGUAAUGGGCAAAGGAGGUAGGUAAUAGACUACUAACAGCAACCCACAAGAGACCUUUAGUCAAUACAUAAUUUUCUACUCCAAGUCUAUGAGAGCCACCUAUUUCGACCAUUAGGAUCUCUCUUACUCCUCAUGUCGUCUAUGUCUAUCACUUUUUCGACCAACUUCAAGAAUUUGCCCGCAGGUUACUUCAUUGUGAAGGAAGCCUCUAACCCGGAAAUUUCUGAUUUCAGAGGCCAAGCCAGGAGCCCUGCAGGAUGAAGUCGACGUCCUUAAGCGUCCUCAACGAGCACGACCGAACCCUGUCCAGCGAGGAGGGCGCCCGCUCCAGCCCGCACCCCCACGCCCAUCCUCACGCCCACCCGCACUCCAAGCCGGCCUACCACCGCUACCAUCCGGGUGGGCGCCGCGUCCGGAUGCGCCACGGACACAGCCACGGGCACCACCCUCGCGAGUUUCCACCCACCCCGCCCACGCCACGCCGCCUCGCGCCCAUCCUGUCCGUGGACUCCCUCGUGUCGGCGCUCAACGACACCGGCGUGUCUUACCUGGACAACGGCGAGGUCUUCAUCCACCCCAACAGCAGCAGCGUGCCGGACCUCAAGAAGAUCUUCAUCACGGAUUUCCUGUAGAGAAGCCCCGUCACUUGAAGUGAUGGCAAUCAUUGUCUGCCCAUAGGGCUGAUUAUUGAAAUUAAUGAACAAAGCAAUAGUCAAAGAAGACAUACUGAAAAUAAAGCGAUCCUAUUGGUGGUUGCAAUGGACGAAGGAGUUAAGUAUUAGACUAACUAACGGCAACUUACGAGAGACUCUAUCGUUAGUCCAUGACAUCCACCUGUUUCAGCCAAUAUGAUUUCUCCAUGUUCCCUAUGUCUUCUCUAUCUAUAGCUUUGUCUAUCAAUUCAGUGAUCAACCCGCAGGGCUAGAGAUAUGUCGACUGAAUCCUCCAAGGGAGAAACAAUUUCAGAUGACUGAAACUAUAUUCAGAAAAAACCUCUCAGACACUUUUGAGUCAAGUUCAGCUGAAAGUACUGAGUGUCGUGCCAAGAUUAGGUGGUACAGGUGUUUCUCUGAAUGCAACUCUCGUUGCAAAGAAUGUUGAAUAGCUUUUUUCAAGAUAUAUUUCAAACAUGCUGAUAAUUUGUCCGUAAACUUUAACUGCCUUUUAUAGAGACUUUGUCAUUUAAGAGCAAUAAUUGUUAAUAGCCACUGCUACGAGAGUAGUGUGAUAUGAAUUAAAGUGGAAUUGUUUCAAUAUUUAACGAUGAGAAGACUAGUUUCAUCAUAGCUUUCUUCUGCGACGAUUUUUUUCCGCUCUGUUAAAUUUGUUCUGUCUCCAUGAACGACCAUCGGAGAUGUUUAUUCUGAAAUAGUUUGUUUAAACAGAACUAAACGUCAUUUAUUACUCAGUGGUGGAGACAUUCAGUUCUACUUGAAGGGCAACUUUUAACAAAGCUCAUACUUACCUCUAAUAAUUGCAUUCCCGGUUGGUUUAAUACUAUCCAACUGGAGGGAGUUUGAUGUUUCAUUAAAUUACGGUAGUUUGUAUGACAGUGAAGAAUCAUCAUAAUCAAGCGUCUAUAUUUAUAGAGUCAUUUAACGUACCUGAGUAAGUGAGUACUUCUGAGUAAAGUUUAAAAGAAUCAUCUUUUUUGUGCAACGACUGAAGAGCUAAUCAGCACAUCUAACAUAUUGAACUGAUGCUGUUUAAAAGAAUUUGCUUCGGUUAUAGGUACUGUUUUAGAUGAUGGUGGUUAUGGGACGUAGUUGCUAAAAGCAAAGCAGAUUCAAAUAAAUGAGAAAUCACAAAUUGUCUUGUUAAAUAACAUUUUGGAAGGUAUAUACCUCAUUUAUUUAUAUAAUGAAAAGUAUUAUUUUUGUCUCAGCCUGAUGCACAGGCCAAGAAUAAAAACUAAAACAAACACUUCUCAAAUCUUAUCAUCAGUGUUAAUUUCAAAAUAUUUUUUUUAUCAAAUACCAAUAAUUCCUUUGGUUAUGAAAAAAAAGUCGUGUAAAAUUCAUAACUAUUGUGGAUAUAAAUCUGUGUUAGUCUUUUAAAUAAUACAUAUUUUCCUUUUAAAACCUGAAGCAAAGUUUUUGCAAGGGAUUACAUAGAAAGUACUUUCUUGAAGAAUUUAAUUGAGGGUUUUCUUGAAGAAAAAAAGUCAAAAAUUAUACUAUCCACAGUCGAUACCGAUUAAUAUCUGGGGGAAAAAUUCAUCAUCCUUGUGAAUUAUGUCACCCAGUAAUAGGCGUUCGCCUAGAUGAAAAAGAAUCUAUUCUCAGGAGAGGAAAUUUAUAUUUCUCAUCUAAGCUUUAAGUUUGGGUUAAAUUAAACUUCGUCUCAACUCGCCAAAUAAUUCAUCUAGUCUUUUGAGAAUCGUCUCUAAGAAGUCCUUGCUGAGCUAAAUGCUCGCAGAAAGAGGUCACUUCUUUUGUUUAUUGUAGAAGAAGCUCAUGAAAAGUCUCGCCAUUUUUUCCUUGUUUUAAGAGAAGCCUUAAAAAGCGUCGACUGAAUUUACAAGAUGAAUACUUACUUAGAACUCCUUCUGAAUUCAUUCACUAUCUUACUCUGAUAAAUGCACCGACGAAAAACAAGUAAAACAUUGUACAACAAAACAUCACUUUUUUUGUAUUUCACCUCUCUACAAUCUCGUCAUUAGUCGUCACAUUUGUAAGAGGCGAUUCAAUCCACAUACUAAAUGACUUUAAAAGGACUAUGUUAGUCCUUAAUAUUUUUUUGUACAGUUAACGUAGGCUCGUGUAAUUAAUUAUUAUCAAACUACUUAAAAGUAAGUUAAGAUUAAGACUGUAUUCUUUGAAAGCCAAAUAUACUAUACUUAAAAUAAUCCCGAGUUUUUAAUUAUCCUCCAGCAAAGACAUGUAAUUUAUGCAAUUACACUUAGUCCAAUCCAUUAUACUUCUAACUUU
rnacentral:lncRNA from 1 species